rnacentral:lncRNA from 1 species
CGAACUGUAUGAGUUACAGGAGGACAUACAAACUAUCUAUUGUUGAAAGGGAGGCAUUAAAAACCUACCAAGUCACCAAAGAUAGUGAUGUUCUACCAAAUAAAAGAGAUAAUAGGAGUUAUCCUAUUAUUUUAGAUGGUAGAAACUUGGCUACAAAUGAUAAUCUACUAAAAAAUGGGGUUAGUCCUCAAGAUUCAAUCUUGAAAUAUGAAGUUGGUCUUCAAAUUUCUAAUCCCACGCUAAGGGACAGUGGGAGA